rnacentral:rRNA from 1 species
CCUACGGGUGGCUGCAGUGGGGAAUAUUGGACAAUGGGCGAAAGCCUGAUCCAGCCAUGCCGCGUGUGUGAAGAAGGCCUUCGGGUUGUAAAGCACUUUCAGUGGGGAAGAAAGCCUUGGGGCUAAUACCCUCGAGGAAGGACAUCACCCACAGAAGAAGCACCGGCUAACUCCGUGCCAGCAGCCGCGGUAAUACGGAGGGUGCGAGCGUUAAUCGGAAUUACUGGGCGUAAAGCGCGCGUAGGCGGUCUGAUAAGCCGGUUGUGAAGGCCCCGGGCUCAACCUGGGAACGGCAUCCGGAACUGUCAGGCUAGAGUGCAGGAGAGGAAGGUAGAAUUCCCGGUGUAGCGGUGAAAUGCGUAGAGAUCGGGAGGAAUACCAGUGGCGAAGGCGGCCUUCUGGACUGACACUGACGCUGAGGUGCGAAAGCGUGGGUAGCAAACAGGAUUAGAUACCCUAGUAGUC